CUUCAUAUCCCCCCCGUCAGCCGCGCUUACACCACUGCCUGUGUCCUCACCACCGCCGCUGUGCAGUUGGAAUUGAUCACACCUUUUCAAUUGUACUUCAAUCCUGAAUUAAUCUUUAAACACUUUCAAAUAUGGAGGUUAAUCACCAAUUUCUUAUUUUUUGGCCUAGUUGGAUUCAAUUUUUUAUUUAAUAUGAUUUUUCUCUUUUUGGCUUGUUUGUGAGCUUAGUUUUCUUGGGCCAGGUCUUCGCAAUAAUGCUCGUCUACGUGUGGAGCCGAAGGAACCCAUAUGUCCGCAUGAACUUCUUUGGCCUUCUCAACUUUCAGGCCCCCUUUCUGCCCUGGGUGCUCAUGGGGUUUUCCUUGUUGUUGGGGAACUCAAUCAUUGUGGACCUCUUGGGUAUUGCAAGAGGACACGUAUAUUUUUUCUUGGAAGAUGUAUUUCCCAAUCAGCCUGGUGGAAUAAGAAUUCUGAAAACACCAUCUAUUUUGAAAGCUAUUUUUGAUACACCAGAUGAGGAUCCAAAUUACAAUCCACUACCUGAAGAGCGGCCAGGAGGCUUCGCCUGGGGUGAGGGCCAGCCCCUUGGAGGUUAAAGCAGCAGUGCCAAUAAUGAGACCCAGCUGGGAAGGACUUAGUGCUACCCAUUAGGAUUAGUUUAUUCUGUGCAAAAGUGUGGACACUUUUGAAGCUUGGCAGACUUUAACUCCAGAAGCACUUUAUGAAAUGGUACACUGACCAAUUCAGAAGAUAUUUCCAGAAGUUUGCCAGUGGUUCCUCACUACACUGGUACUGAAGGUGUAAUCUCUUGGAGCCAAAAAACUGGAGAAAUGAAUAUCCUGCCACCUCUAACAAGUACAUAAGUACUUGAAUUCUGUGAUACAAAGCAGAACUUUUUCUUCCUCUUUUUUGAUAGAGGAGGCUAUGGUGUAAAUGGAAGUUUCAGAGAGGGCAAAAUAAAGCUGAAUUCCAUCUCUCUUUCACUGUAAAAA